UGGGGGAUAUUGCACAAUGGGCGAAAGCCUGAUGCAGCGACGCCGCGUGGGGGAUGAAGGCCUUCGGGUUGUAAACUUCUUUUGCUCUGAACAAGGCAUGCUAAUGGGUGUGUUGAGUGUAGGGGUUGAUUAGCGCCGGCUAACUACGUGCCAGCAGCCGCGGUAAUACGUAGGGCGCGAGCGUUGUCCGGAAUUAUUGGGCGUAAAGGGCGUGUAGGUGGCUGGUUGCGUCUGUCGUGAAAGCUCAUGGCUUAACUGUGGGUUUGCGGUGGGUACGGGCUGGCUUGAGUGCAGUAGGGGAGACUGGAAUGCCUGGUGUAGCGGUGGAAUGCGCAGAUAUCAGGAGGAAUACCGGUGGCGAAGGCGGGUCUCUGGGCUGUUACUGACACUGAGGAGCGAAAGCAUGGGGAGCGAACAGG
rnacentral:rRNA from 1 species